UUCAUGGAAAAAUUCAAUGGU
rnacentral:piRNA from 1 species